rnacentral:lncRNA from 1 species
AUGGAAGUGGAAGAAGAGGAGGAGCCAAGCCACAAUAUUUAGCUGAGGUGGGCCUCCGGUGUGGCCAGGCAGUUCAGCCUUGCCGUCAACCCUCCAUGUGAUGAGUCCGCAGAAAACCACACGCCGAUUUAUUUGAAGUCAAGGACGGAGAUUAAACGGCCUUGAAAAACACCACACCCGUUUUGUCCACCGCCAUCACCACCUUCUCCCAGAUCAAGGACAAAGUGUAUUACAGACUCACACAUAAGGAAGAUAUGCGUGUGAUUGUGUUUGGGUGUGUUUGGAUGCAUUUGGGUGUGUUUGGGUCUGUUUGGGUGUGUUUGA